AGUGAACGCUGGCGGCGUGCUUAACACAUGCAAGUCGAACGAGAACGGAAUAUAGCUUGCUAUAUUUGUCAGCUAAGUGGCGCACGGGUGAGUAAUGUAUAGAUAACCUGCCCUAAAGAAAGGAAUAACAGUUGGAAACGACUGCUAAUGCCCUAUAUGCCUCUAAUACAUAAGUAUGCAAGGGAAACGCUUUAGUGCUUAAGGAUGGGUCUGUAUGGUAUCAGCUUGUUGGUGAGGUAAUGGCUCAUCAAGGCUAUGACGCCUAACUGGUUUGAGAGGAUGAUCAGGCACACUGGAACUGAGACAUGGUCCAGACUCCUACGGGAGGCAGCAGUGGUGAAUAUUGCACAAUGGACGAAAGUCUGAUGCAGCAACGCCGCGUGGAGGAUGACACAUUUCGGUGCGUAAACUCCUUUUAUAUAGGAAGAUAAUGACGGUACUAUAUGAAUAAGCACCGGCUAACUCCGUGCCAGCAGCUGCGGUAA
rnacentral:rRNA from 1 species